rnacentral:rRNA from 1 species
CCUACGGGGGGCAGCAGUGGGGGAUAUUGCACAAUGGGGGAAACCCUGAUGCAGCGACGCCGCGUGAGUGAAGAAGUAUUUCGGUAUGUAAAGCUCUAUCAGCAGGGAAGAAAAUUACAGUACCUGACCAAUAAGCCCCGUCUAACUACGUGCCAGCAGCCGCGGUAAUACGUAGGGGGCCAGCGUUAUCCGGAUUUACUGGGGGUAAAGGGAGCGUAGACGGUUAUGUAAGUCAGUUGUGAAAGCCCGGGGCCCAACCCUGGGACUGCUUUGGAAACUGUGUGACUGGAGUACAGGAGGGGCAGGCGGAAUUCCUGGUGUAGCGGUGAAAUGCGUAGAUAUUAGGAGGAACACCAGUGGCGAAGGCGGUCUGCUGGACAGCAACUGACGCUGAGGCGCGAAAGCGUGGGGAGCAAACAGGAUUAGAUACCCUGGUAGUC